AAAUGGAAGAGGAAAGGAGGUUGAAUUUGCACAAGACAGACCCAGGCACAGUCUUUUUCAAAGUAUUUUUCUCUCCAGGAGAGAAGCAGUAGCAACCUGUCUUCCAUUCAGGAAACACUCGGCAUGCUGGUUCUGGCAGGGAUGAUGAAGGACAAGGGUCUUCACUCACAGGCAGCGCGAGUUACCCGCACCCCCCGUAACUCAUCUUGAACGACACGGUGGCCAGUUCCAGGGCUGGGCAAACAACGCACGCAGAGCAAUUUAUCCAGCUCAGACAACGAUUUCAAGCACCUUCUCUGCGUAUUGCCAGAAGACUUGGAUAGUUGAAGGAGCCAAGCAAAUCCAUUAAACACGCAGACUGCCACACCGUGAAGGAGGCGUUCCCCCAGACCAAAUGAAAUCAAAGCACCCAGACACAUGCUUCCCUGGGGUGCUCAGUUUUUAGCUUGUACGAAUCUGAGUAACUGAGACCUCGGAGGCAGCGAUCAGACAGCUGCCAAGCCAACCAACUCAGACCAAACAGGGGCCACAGACGAGCCUCAGGUGGGGUUUUAGAUUUACCCUCCUGGAGCUCACGGCUGCUUGGAAGGACUGAGAAGACGGGGAUGUGUCCUGCCAGCACAGGGGACCCAAGGAGAACCACAGAGCGAUGUUUCAACCUGGGGAUUUGGACCAAUUCUCUCCAUGCAGAGCUCCAGGGACAAAAUGGGCAGGUACAGGGGACAUACGGUGCACUUGAAGUUAACACAGACAUAUCUGUGCAACAGGACCCCAUAAGCAAAAGGAGAAUAUCAACAGUUACCUUUGGUGGGUGGAUCGGCAUCUCUGGAUGGAAAAGACCACAUAGCAAGGAGUUUCUUUACCAUUCGCAAUGUCUUUGCCAGCAACGUUAAUGCUUGCUGCUCUUAAACAUUAAAGGCUACAGCACCUACCCACAGUCCUGAUUCAUCAUGUAAUAUCCAGCUUAGAUCCUUCAACUGGAAAGCAAACAAAAUGCAUCCUCAGAAGCAAUUAUAAAAACACUGAUAUGCCCUUAGCAGAAUCAAUAUUUGAAUUACGCCAAAGCAACAAGAUGAAAAAAGAUACUGGAAGCAGGCUGCUGAGCUGAACAGGUCAGCAAUGAGACCAUCGCCCAACCUUCUCCUGCAGGCAGAUACCCACCUCCCGUGGGAGGUUUGGGAGAUGUGCAGGACACGGACACGCAAAGUGCUGGGCAAAGACCUGAAGCACUUAAGAGCUGACGUCCUAGGAGCAUCCCCAGUGCCUCUGGCCAGGAGCCUGGGAGGUGCUGCUGGACCUGGUGUCCUGGCCGCUGGCACCCUGGGGGGCAGGGAAGGGUGGCAACACCAAGGAUCAUCCACCUAAAGUCAGAACUUAGCAGGCCAACGCGGGAAAUCCUUUGUUAUCUAUUGCUUUGGGUCUUGCUAUCACCUCGUGUCUUGGAAAAGCAGAACUAUAGGCUUGAAACUCCUAUUUUACAUAUUAAGUUAGAUAUAUUUAGUCCAAAUGUGAAUUUAUAUCUAAUUGUCUCUCUCCAUUUAACUCUGUUGCUUUGACAGAAUGAGCAAAGUACCUCCUACAAAAAUAAACUUGGGUUCUUUGUGCCUGAGGCAGAUCUAGACAGUUAUCUCCUCUAUGGGAUUACAUAGGAAUUCUUCAUUAUAAGCUACAUUAUUUGCAGCAGUUUCUGCAGCGCUAGGAAAUUCUGAUUUUCUUUCUCUUUUUGGUCCUAGCACUGAGCUUCAAGGCACAGAUCCGAUAUUAAGGAAUUGCAGUCAGCACAAAGCAGUAUUUCUUAAUAAAGUAAAAAAAGAAAGGGUGAUCUUGGCUUGAUUGAUGCCACUUCAUUUGCAUAUGCCCACUAGCAGUACUUUGGUUAAUUAAUACGUAUUUUGUGUCUGUAGAUGAAUAAGAAAUAAUGGGUUUGCUAUUGAAGCUUUAGGUAUAAAUUUAUUCAAUGAACAGGUUAGUUUACUUCUUGGUGUCUUCUCCCAGUAUUUUCUGUGCAAAUAAGACAUAAUAACUCUCUAGAAGGUGGUGACACAUGACAAAAUCCAAGAAGGAUGCACUCGUGUUUUAAAGCUAGAUGAGUUAAUUAGCUCAUAAAAUGGAAGAACUGUUUGGAGGGGGCAAGGGGGGAAGGAUGAGAAACAACACCUUCUUCCAGUGAAAAAAUUCGUUUGAAAAUAUUAACCCUUAUGGCUCAAGUUCAGCUCUAGAGGCCUCAAUCCAGAAAUUCACUUAAAAACCACUUACAGUUAAGCAGGUGCAAUAGUGCCCCAGACAUUAAGACGACUGCCCAGGUGCUUGAAAGUUAAGUGCUCUGCUGGAUCACAGCCUGGGUAGCCAAAGGUGGAAUUUCAUUUUAUUCUCUGAUCUGCCUCACCAGCUUCCUGGACUGGCUGCUUCUAACCAGCUCAGGGUGCGACUGGAUGCUGAAAAUAGUCCUAAAAUCCUGAGGGCAGAAAACCCCCUAAUAUAUACUGAUAUAGGUCCAUGGUAUCUAAUACCUCAGUGGACAAGUUUUUGGGCAAAGCCAAGGAAAUUUUGGUCAACCACCCCAACUCUUACAGCACUUGAGGACGGGGUUUGGCUGGCUGGUUAAUACCAGUGCGAGGAGGCAGCCGAGGAGGCGGCCCAUGGUGUAGAGGCCAAGCUGCGACAUCUUCCCUUGCCCUGGGCCUCCGGGGAAACCCCUGAAGUCAAGGAGAGGAAGGAAAACUGUGUGCAGCGUUACUGGGGUUAACUACCUGUUAGGUAUUACGGCAGUAGUGCAUCGUAGCGAUUAGAUCAUCUAUGAGGCAAUAGUCUUGCUAUGAAUAAUAAAUGCACCACGGGGAAGCCAGAAAGUUCACUGCUGUGAUAGUAUUCGCUUUACAGGGAGCUCUGACUGUGAACGCUGUUCAAAAUGAGUCCCACAGAGCACCACCUCUGCAGUCUCCAUCGAGUAUCACAAGGACACACUAGACUGAAGGAUAAAUGCACUGGGAAACAUAAAUCAUGUCUAGUUAUUUCCACUGCUAUUCUCAAUGAUGCACAGGGCAAGUCUCAAGUGAUAUCACAUCAAGGGACAUGCAUUCAGCGCCAGGCUCCUGCUAGUCACAAAAGGAGAGAGAUUUUCCAGGAUGACUGAAGGAGAUAAAUGAUUAGUUCCCACUGAAUUUUGCUGGGAAUUUUCUCCUCCUUGUCACGCUGAAGCUGUCACUCAAGUCUGCUGGUACUGAAAGAGCUGUGGAAGAAAUGAGCCAACCAAUUUGAGAAGAUGACUGAACAAGCUGAUACUUCUUAUCACUGCCAUUAAUACUGGUUGAAUCCAAAGACACCAACAACUUUUCCGAACACAUGAGACGAUGCAAUUCCUACCCUAAUCAAGCUUCACAUAUAUUAAAACAAGCUCAAGCACAGAGGGUUUCUUCAGAUCAAAGUAAGCCACGGGCUGGAUGCAGCACAAUCUGCCAGAGGCAGAGAUCUUCCAGGGCCUUCUGCAAAGCUUCAGCGCCGGGCACGAACGUGUACCAAGUGUUAACAUCCUUUUUAAGUGUUUUACAUCUGCUUUGCACUCACCGCAUGCUGGAGCUUGUGACAGCACAACAGCAAAUCAUGCCCAGUAACACUGGAAAGCAAAAGGUCGGGAGGCAGGUGACUGGCACACAGACACACUGGGCUGAGUUUCCUGGAGGAACGGGUGACUGUAACAUGGCACGAUCCACCAAACCUGGCUGUCAGCUGACAAAAAAGGAAGUGCUAUAAAGCAAUCCCAAAGAGUAGAAUACCGGUCUCAAAAGGAUUUGGAUGUUCAAGGGGGAGUCCAGGAGGUGAUCGAGGGUCUUCCAGCAAAACUGGGAUGCUUGAAGGGCACGUUGUCCUGGUUUCAGCUGAGGUAGAGUUAAUUUUCUUCAUAGUAGAUAGUAUGGGGCUACGUUUUGGAUUUGGGCUGCAAACAUGUUGAUAAUGUAGAGAUGGUUUUGUUAUAUAGAGAUAUUUUUGUUGUUAUUGAGCAGUGCUGACACAGAGCCAAGGCCUUUUCUGCUUCUCUCGCACCACCCCGCCAGCGGGAUGGCUGGGGGUGCGCGAGGAGUCGGGAGGGCACACAGACAGGGCAGCUGACCCCAGUGACCAAAGGGAUGUUCCGUACCAUAUGACGUCACGCUCAGCAUAUACAGCUGGGGGAAGAAGGAGGAAAGGGGGGACGUUUGGAGUGAUGGCGUUUGUCUUCCCAAGUCACGGUUACGCGUGAUGGAGCCCUGCUUUCCUGGGGAUGGCUGAACACCUGCCUGCCCAUGGGAAGUGGGGAAUGAAUUCCUUGUUUUGCUUUGCUUGUGUGCAGCUUUUGCUUUACCUAUUAAACUGUUUUUAUCUCAA